rnacentral:pre_miRNA from 1 species
AGUAAAAGACACCCUGGAUUUCUAUAUCCAAUGUUUUUGUCUUAUAUAAAAUCUUUUUAUAAUUAGUAUUUUUAUUAUUGUUAGAUAAUAAAACAUGAUUAAUACUUUAUGUGUGACUUGUCUUUUUAAUUUUUUAUAAUUUUUUUAAAUAAGAUGAACGAUCAAACGUUGGACACGAAAACUAGUGAUUUGUCUUUUU